rnacentral:rRNA from 1 species
UACCNUGCAGUCGAGCGGACCAAUGCUCAUUUCAGCUUUACUGAUUUGAGCAUUGGUUAGCGGCGGACGGGUGAGUAACGCGUGGGCAACCUGCCCUGUGCAGGGGGAUAACACAGCGAAAGCUGUGCUAAUACCCCAUAAGACUACGCUAUCGCAUGAUAGAGUAGUCAAAGCUUUAGCGGCACAGGAUGGGCCCGCGUCUGAUUAGCUAGUUGGUGGGGUAACGGCCUACCAAGGCGACGAUCAGUAGCCGACCUGAGAGGGUGAUCGGCCACACUAGAACUGAGACACGGUCCAGACUCCUACGGGAGGCAGCAGUGGGGAGUAUUGCACAAUGGGGGAAACCCUGAUGCAGCAACGCCGCGUGAGCGAAGAAGGCCUUCGGGUCGUAAAGCUCUGUCCUAAGGGAAGAAGUAUGACGGUACCUUAGAAGGAAGCCCCGGCUAACUACGUGCCAGCAGCCGCGGUAAUACGUAGGGGGCGAGCGUUAUCUGGAAUCACUGGGCGUAAGGGUGCGUAGGCGGCCGAGUAAGCCAGAGGUGAAAGGCUACGGCUUAACCGUAGUAAGCCUUUGGAACUACUUGGCUUGAGUGCAGGAGAGGAGAGUGGAAUUCCUAGUGUAGCGGUGAAAUGCGUAGAUAUUAGGAGGAACACCAGUGGCGAAGGCGACUCUCUGGACUGUAACUGACGCUGANGCACGAAAGCGUGGGGAGCAAACAGGAUUAGAUACCCUGGUAGUCCACGCCGUAAACGAUGAGUGCUANGGUGUCGGGGGUUCACACCCUCGGGUGCCGGAGUUNACGCAAUAAGCACUCCGCCUGGGGAGUACGGUCGCNAGACUGAAACUCAAAGGNANUUGGACGGGGACC